rnacentral:rRNA from 1 species
GAGCUCUAAAUUCAAAGAAUUUGGCGGUAUUUUAGUCUGAUUAGGGGAACCUGUCUUUUAAACGAUAAACCACGAAGAAUCUUACCUACUUUACUAUAGUUUGUAUACCGUCAUUUAGAUAACUUUUACAGAACAAGUUAUUGAAAUAAUACCAUUAAGAUAUUAGAUCAAGGUGCAGCAUAUAUUUAGGAUAAGAUGGGUUACAAUAAAAUUUAUAUUACCACGGAUAAGUUUCAGAAUAAAAACUUUAAAGGAGGACUUAAAAGUAAGGCUAAUUUAAUAAGAUAGCCUGAUUUUAGCUCUAAAAUGUGUACAUAUCGUCCGUCGCUA